UGGGGAAUAUUGCACAAUGGAGGGAACUCUGAUGCAGCGACGCCGCGUGAACGAAGAAGGCUUUCGAGUCGUAAAGUUCUUUUAUAUGGGAAGAUAAUGACGGUACCAUAAGAAAAAGCCCCGGCUAACUACGUGCCAGCAGCCGCGGUAAUACGUAGGGGGCUAGCGUUGUCCGGAAUCACUGGGCGUAAAGGGUUCGCAGGCGGAAAUGCAAGUCAGGUGUAAAAGGCAGUAGCUUAACUACUGUAAGCAUUUGAAACUGCAUAUCUUGAGAAGAGUAGAGGUAAGUGGAAUUUUUAGUGUAGCGGUGAAAUGCGUAGAUAUUAAAAAGAAUGCCGGUGGCGAAGGCGACUUACUGGGCUCAUUCUGACGCUGAGGAACGAAAGCGUGGGUAGCAAACAGG
rnacentral:rRNA from 2 species